rnacentral:rRNA from 1 species
GGAGGAAAGUAGGGGAUCGCAAGACCUUGCGCUUUUGGAGCGGCCGAUGUCUGAUUAGCUAGUUGGUGAGGUAAAGGCUUACCAAGGCUUCGAUCAGUAGCUGGUCUGAGAGGACGACCAGCCACACUGGGACUGAGACACGGCCCAGACUCCUACGGGAGGCAGCAGUGGGGAAUUUUGGACAAUGGGGGAAACCCUGAUCCAGCCAUGCCGCGUGAGUGAAGAAGGCCUUCGGGUUGUAAAGCUCUUUCAGCCGGAACGAAACGGUCACAGUUAAUACCUGUGACUACUGACGGUACCGGAAGAAGAAGCACCGGCUAACUACGUGCCAGCAGCCGCGGUAAUACGUAGGGUGCGAGCGUUAAUCGGAAUUACUGGGCGUAAAGCGUGCGCAGGCGGUUUUGUAAGUCAGAUGUGAAAUCCCCGGGCUUAACCUGGGAACUGCGUUUGAAACUACAAAGCUAG